rnacentral:rRNA from 1 species
GACGAACCGUCCGAACGUUAUUCGGAAUCACUGGGCUUAAAGGGUGCGUAGGCGGCGCGGAAAGUUGGGUGUGAAAUCCCUCGGCUUAACCGAGGAACGGCGCCCAAAACUACCGUGCUCGAGGGAGAUAGAGGUGAGCGGAACUUAGGGUGGAGCGGUGAAAUGCGUUGAUAUCCUAAGGAACACCGGUGGCGAAAGCGGCUCACUGGACCGGCAUUGACGCUGAGGUGCGAAAGCGUGGGGAGCAAACAGGG